AUGUCCCCCACCCCUCUGCCCAACAUCACAAUGGGAAUGCAUAGGGGUAAAGGUGUGUGUGGGGGGGAAUCACAGGUGGUAGAGCUGGAGGGGAGCAGAGUGCUCAGGCCAUUACCAUCCCGCUCUCUCCACUGGCUGAGGAUUUUCCCCACUUUUUCUUCCCCUUUUCCCAGCAACCCAAAAGGAACACUUUCUCCCUUCUCUGUUUGUGAUAAAGGGGGACAGUCAGAAUUCUUUUCUUACUUCUGUAUUAAAUGGAGUUUGAGUCUUCCAUUCUUGGAGCAAGACUCUGCUACAAACUUGGCCCCAGAAGUCAAUCUAGUCUGGCCACUGGAUCUGGGAUCUAUCUGCUACCCUUCUUCAUACCAGAAGAAGUUCUGUGAAGGGGAGACUCUUGCCUCGCUGACAAAUCCACAGCCUUGUUAGGUUUUCUAAGCAACUUGGCCCAAUCCACCAGGUUCUGAGAGAAUAUACUAACCAUGUCUUUCUGAAAUCAUCAAGAGAAGUUAAGGAGAAAUCACUCCACCCAACCAGAACAGGAGAUUUGGUAUACAAGAAAACAUGGAGUGGAUAGAAUCAGCUAAUACCACUAUGGGAGAGGUCCAAUCCAGUCAUUUUAUCCACCCCCUUUCUCCUUGUUACUUUAAAUCUCUCUUGUUCUAGCCAUGACUCCUUUUCCUUACACUUUCUGACUUUUCCUGCUUUUAAUCAUGCUUGUCCAGACAGCUGGAAGAUAAUUCUCUGAUUUGUAACCUUGUCAUUUCUCUAGUUGCUUCUAAGGUGAAAGUUCCCAUUGGAGUCACUGAGAUGCCAUUGCAACCCAGAAACUGUCCCAGCCUACAGACUACAGCCAAUACCUCUCUCUCCUGACAAUAGACAGGGACAGCUCUACAACCAUUCUCAGCUCUAAAGAAGUUACAGAAUACAGAGACCAUUGCCCAUUUUCCCUUAGAUAUUUGGAGAGAGGGAGAUGGCAUGGGCAUUGUACCCCCAGAAACUCAGGCAAAUUAUUAUCAGGGAAAUUCCUCUGCUCCCUUAGGCUCUCAUGAGUCCCAACCCAAAACACCUGACCUAGAAGAUUAGCCUUCUUUGAUUGCCUAUUUAAUUGAGAUGGACAAGGAGACACAUCCCAUUCAUUCAUCCUGCAAAUCAAGAGAACAACCCCCAUGCCCUUGGGCAAACCUUCCUCCAACCCCCUUGUUCCUGAAUCAAGCCCUCACUGGUGAAAAGAAUAUAAAAACCCUAGAAUUGAGGCAUUCGGAGUGCAACCCUCCUCUGCCCCCCUUUCCCCCCUCCAAUCAUGCUCUCUUGCUGGUCAGAAAUUCAAUAUUACUAUUAAAUCUCUCUCUUUGCUUUUAAGCUUUUUAAG
rnacentral:lncRNA from 1 species